AGCGAACGCUGGCGGCAGGCUUAACACAUGCAAGUCGAGCGGGCAUCCUUGUGGUGUCAGCGGCAGACGGGUGAGUAACGCGUGGGAACGUGCCCUUCGGUUCGGAAUAACUCAGGGAAACUUGAGCUAAUACCGGAUACGUGCGAGAGCAGAAAGGUUUAUCUGCCGAAGGAUCGGCCCGCGUCUGAUUAGCUAGUUGGUGAGGUUAUGGCUCACCAAGGCGACGAUCAGUAGCUGGUCUGAGAGGAUGAUCAGCCACACUGGGACUGAGACACGGCCCAGACUCCGACGGGAGGCAGCAGUGGGGAAUAUUGAACAAUGGGGGCAACCCUGAUCCAGCCAUGCCGCGUGAGUGAUGACGGCCUUAGGGUUGUAAAGCUCUUUUCUCCGGGACGAUAAUGACGGUACCGGAGGAAUAAGCCCCGGCUAACUUCGUG
rnacentral:rRNA from 1 species